rnacentral:rRNA from 1 species
UACGGAGGGUGCAAGCGUUAUCCGGAUUCACUGGGUUUAAAGGGCGCGUAGGUGGCCCGGUCAGUUCGUGGUGAAAGCGCGGGGCUCAACCCUGCGUCGGCCAUGAAUACUGCCGCGGCUGGAGCACUGUAGAGGCAGGCGGAAUUCCGGGUGUAGCGGUGGAAUGCGUAGAGAUCCGGAAGAACACCGGUGGCGAAGGCGGCCUGCUGGGCAGUUGCUGACACUGAGGCGCGACAGCGUGGGGAGCAAACAGG